UCAUUGUCCUGCUGGGUGUGACCUUUCCAGGGUGUCCCUGACCUCUGGAACCAAGAGGCGCGUGGAUGGAGGAUCAACACAGGUGGGGGCGAGUGCGCCCCCUGCUGGUUGGUGGGCCGUGACUGCGUGUGUGACCAGAGCAGGAUGUGGCUCCGCGUUAACUCCUCCAAACGUGCAUCUGAUGAAGUUGUGCUCAGGCCGUGGAGGAGGAUCAGGACCAGAGCGGAGAAAAUGUUUCGGCUCAGAAACAUGUUUUCUUUUUUUCCCUCUUCAUGAGCCUUAAUGGCUUCUCUGUCACGGCACGACUCCCUGUGUGCAGACAUUAGGCUGAACGACUCUGUGUCACUCUGCUCCACGUGCAGCCUCCUGAUGGAGGAGGCUCGCCACAUAGUUAAGCACUUGAAGCCGCCGCCAUCGGCGUCUGACAAACGCUGGCACCAAAACUCUCCUUGGCAUCAAAUAUUUGCUCUGCAGCCGAUGUUUCACCGGGGCGUGUGUGUGGUGACACGUGAUCCCGGGGACCGGGUCUGCUCUGGUCUCACCAGGCCCAGGCACAUGACUGGGAGUCGGACUCUUUAUUCUGAGCACACACAGGCUUGGGAUCCAACACCUUCACCAUCUCAGCCCCAUCGUCCUCAACACCGGACUCUCGUGGACCUUCAGAUGUUCUCCAGCCGACCAGCCAGGCCACGGCGGCGUGUUUUCCAAGGGAAAAGCCUGAACGGUCCUGACGGCUCACCUGCCACCUAACGACGGAGCUCCUGCAUGUUGUGGCCCAUUUGGGCGGAGUGGAGCGCGGCUCCUCACCUUGAUGACUGUUCUGCCGGGAGCCCAGCGGAGGCAACUCUAAUGACAAGUGGAGAGAAAGGCGGGAGAGUGGCAGCGGGGCCCAGUCUCGUCGGCCCCUGAGGAGACAUUAGAGCGGCGCUCGCGUCACGCUGCACAGCGGCGAGGCCGGACGCUGCUCCUGCGGCGAGGCCGGAGACUGCUGCGAGGCCGGAGACUGCUGCGAGGCC